GACGAACGCUGGCGGCGUGCUUAACACAUGCAAGUCGAACGGUGAAGGGACCAGCUUGCUGGUUCUGGAUGAGUGGCGAACGGGUGAGUAACACGUGAGUAACCUGCCCCCUUCUUCUGGAUAACCGCAUGAAAGUGUGGCUAAUACGGGAUAUUCUGGGUCUGUCGCAUGGCGGGCCCGGGAAAGAUAUUGCUUCGGUGGGGGAUGGGCUCGCGGCCUAUCAGCUUGUUGGUGGGGUGAUGGCCUACCAAGGCGGUGACGGGUAGCCGGCCUGAGAGGGGGGACGGUGACACUGGGACUGGGACACGGCCCAGACGCCUACGGGAGGCAGCAGUGGGGAAUAUUGGACAAUGGGCGCAAGCCUGAUGCAGCGACGCAGCGUGAGGGAUGGAGGCCUUCGGGUGGUAAACCUCUUUCGCCAGUGAAGCAGGCCUGCUCCUUGUGGGUGGGUGGACGGUAGCUGGAUAAGAAGCGCCGGCUAACUACGU
rnacentral:rRNA from 1 species